CCUCUCCCUCUCUUCUCUCUCUCUCGUUAUAGCCAAGAGGCCCAAAACAAAGAUAAGAGGUCUCUCUGCUGCUUAGCAAGACCUCCCUGCUGCUGGUACGUAUCUCUCUUUCUCUCUAGGCACCUCUCAGUUUGGAGUUUCACACGGUGGUUCGGUUGCAGCACCACAGAGGGAUUUCGAUUCUUGAAGUUUCAAGAUUAAUUGCUUCACAGUAGUUCAGUUUGCAGCAUAACAGUUUGGUCAUUGCAGCAAGGAGAUUUUAGGGUUUCUUUGCGUGCCAGAGUGAUUUUAGCUAUGAGAUUUCAGCAUUGGUGCUUGAAGCGCAGCAGAGGGAUUUCUUUGUCUAUUAUUUUCAAGUUCAAUUUUUUCAUAGAGUAGAAAUUUAGGGUUUAUUCUAUCAUUAUAGGAUUUUAUUUCUCACUUCUUUUUCUAUUUUGGUCAUUGAAAUUUCAGCUACACCCACUGGUUCUUCUUGCAAAUCUGGUCACCUCCCUUCUCACAAGAUUUAUUUUCUUGGGUUUCUUCCAUCAUCAUUUGAGAUUUCUUAAUUUGGUUUUGUAGAAGAUUGAUGAAGAAACCGGUGUGAUGGCUCUUUUAUCCGAUGUUUGGAUGGUGGAGCAUUCGUUUUUGAUAGAUAUGGGUGAAUGGGAAUGGCAUGAUCUGGUAGCUAAGAAGGUUUAUGUAUGUAUUUUUUUUCUUUGAAAGUAUUCUUUUAUUUCUUUAGACAUAUAUGUAGACAAACAUGUCACAACACUGCUUUGGUGGUUUUUUAAAGUAUGAUAUAAAGGAAUUUAAAGAUUGUACAAGAGAAGAGGAGGAACUAGUUCCAAGUCAAGAUGAGAUAUUU